rnacentral:lncRNA from 1 species
GAGGGUACACUGUCAUCCACUAGGAGCGGUUCUCUUACGUCUAGAAAAAUUGAAGAAUGGAAGUGUGGGAAAGAAUAGGACGGGAAGACCUAUUUAUAAAAUUUUAUAACGGUCGGAUUUGCACUAAGUGGCAAAAUCCGAUGAAGAGAGAGGAGAAAAAGAGCUCGACAUAAAAAACGAGGGAGAAGGGCCUCCUCCAACCACUGGAGAACC